CUGAGGCGUGAUGACGAGGCACUACGGUGCUGAAGCAACAAAUGCCCUGCUUCCAGGAAAAGCCUCUAAGCAUCAGGUAACAUCAAAUCGUACCCCAAACCGACACAGGUGGUCAGGUAGAGAAUACCAAGGCGCUUGAGAGAACUCGGGUGAAGGAACUAGGCAAAAUGGUGCCGUAACUUCGGGAGAAGGCACGCUGAUAUGUAGGUGAAGUCCCUUGCGGAUGGAGCUGAAAUCAGUCGAAGAUACCAGCUGGCUGCAACUGUUUAUUAAAAACACAGCACUGUGCAAACACGAAAGUGGACGUAUACGGUGUGACGCCUGCCCGGUGCCGGAAGGUUAAUUGAUGGGGUCAGCGCAAGCGAAGCUCUUGAUCGAAGCCCCGGUAAACGGCGGCCGUAACUAUAACGGUCCUAAGGUAGCGAAAUUCCUUGUCGGGUAAGUUCCGACCUGCACGAAUGGCGUAAUGAUGGCCAGGCUGUCUCCACCCGAGACUCAGUGAAAUUGAACUCGCUGUGAAGAUGCAGUGUACCCGCGGCAAGACGGAAAGACCCCGUGAACCUUUACUAUAGCUUGACACUGAACAUUGAGCCUUGAUGUGUAGGAUAGGUGGGAGGCUUUGAAGUGUGGACGCCAGUCUGCAUGGAGCCGGCCUUGAAAUACCACCCUUUAAUGUUUGAUGUUCUAACGUGGACCCGUGAUCCGGGUUGCGGACAGUGUCUGGUGGGUAGUUUGACUGGGGCGGUCUCCUCCUAAAGAGUAACGGAGGAGCACGAAGGUUGGCUAAUCCUGGUCGGACAUCAGGAGGUUAGUGCAAUGGCAUAAGCCAGCUUGACUGCGAGCGUGACGGCGCGAGCAGGUGCGAAAGCAGGUCAUAGUGAUCCGGUGGUUCUGAAUGGAAGGGCCAUCGCUCAACGGAUAAAAGGUACUCCGGGGAUAACAGGCUGAUACCGCCCAAGAGUUCAUAUCGACGGCGGUGUUUGGCACCUCGAUGUCGGCUCAUCACAUCCUGGGGCUGAAGUAGGUCCCAAGGGUAUGGCUGUUCGCCAUUUAAAGUGGUACGCGAGCUGGGUUUAGAACGUCGUGAGACAGUUCGGUCCCUAUCUGCCGUGGGCGCUGGAGAACUGAGGGGGGCUGCUCCUAGUACGAGAGGACCGGAGUGGACGCAUCACUGGUGUUCGGGUUGUCAUGCCAAUGGCACUGCCCGGUAGCUAAAUGCGGAAGAGAUAAGUGCUGAAAGCAUCUAAGCACGAAACUUGCCCCGAGAUGAGUUCUCCCUGACCCUUUAAGGGUCCUGAAGGAACGUUGAAGACGACGACGUUGAUAGGCCGGGUGUGUAAGCGCAGCGAUGCGUUGAGCUAACCGGUACUAAUGAACCGUGAGGCUUAACCUU
rnacentral:rRNA from 1 species